rnacentral:rRNA from 1 species
CCUACGGGAGGCAGCAGUGGGGAAUCUUGCACAAUGGAGGAAACUCUGAUGCAGCGAUGCCGCGUGAGUGAAGAAGGCCUUUGGGUUGUAAAGCUCUUUUGUAGGGGAAGAUAAUGACUGUACCCUAAGAAUAAGGUCCGGCUAACUUCGUGCCAGCAGCCGCGGUAAUACGAAGGGACCUAGCGUAGUUCGGAAUUACUGGGCGUAAAGCGCGCGUAGGCCGUUGAGUUAGUUAAUUGUGAAAUCCCAAAGCUUAACUUUGGAACUGCAAUUAAAACUGCUCGACUAGAGUUUGAUAGAGGAAAGCGGAAUACAUAGUGUAGAGGUGAAAUUCGUAGAUAUUAUGUAGAACACCAGUUGCGAAGGCGGCUUUCUGGAUCAACACUGACGCUGAGGCGCGAAAGUAUGGGUAGCAAAGAGGAUUAGAUACCCUCGUAGUCCAUACCAUAAACGAUGAUUGCUAGAUGUUGGAAAUUUAUUUUCAGUAUCGCAGCUAACGCAUUAAGCAAUCCGCCUGGGGAUACGACCGCAAGGUUAAAACUCAAAGAUAUAGACGUGNGAGAGCGACGACGACGACGACGAGGAGAG